rnacentral:rRNA from 1 species
CGCGUAGGCGGUUUGAUAAGUCAGAUGUGAAAGCCCACGGCUUAACCGUGGAAGUGCAUUUGAUACUGUUAGACUUGAGUACCAGAGGGGAAAGUGGAAUUCCCGGUGUAGAGGUGAAAUUCGUAGAUAUCGGGAGGAAUACCGGUGGCGAAGGCGACUUUCUGGCUGGAUACUGACGCUGAGGCGCGAAAGCGUGGGGAGCAAACGA